UGGGGAAUAUUGCACAAUGGGCGCAAGCCUGAUGCAGCCAUGCCGCGUGUAUGCAGAAGGCCUCCGGGUUGUAAAGUACUUUCAGCGGGGAGGAAGGCGAUAAGGUUAAUAACCUUGUCGAUUGACGUUACCCGCAGAAGAAGCACCGGCUAACUCCGUGCCAGCAGCCGCGGCAAUACGGAGGGUGCAAGCGUUAAUCGGAAUUACUGGGCGUAAAGCGCACGCAGGCGGUCUGUCAAGUCGGAUGUGAAAUCCCCGGGCUCAACCUGGGAACUGCAUUCGAAACUGGCAGGCUAGAGUCUUGUAGAGGAGGGUAGAAUUCCAGGUGUAGCGGUGAAAUGCGUAGAGAUCUGGAGGAAUACCGGUGGCGAAGGCGGCCCCCUGGACAAAGACUGACGCUCAGGUGCGAAAGCGUGGGGAGCAAACA
rnacentral:rRNA from 1 species